CCUACGGGUGGCAGCAGUGAGGAAUAUUGGUCAAUGGCCGGAAGUCUGAACCAGCCAAGCCGCGUGAAGGACGAAGGUGCCAAGCAUUGUAAACUUCUUUUGUCAAGGGACAAAAUCAGGCUCGAGAGCCUGACCGAGGGUACUUGAAGAAAAAGCAUCGGCUAACUCCGUGCCAGCAGCCGCGGUAAUACGGAGGAUGCGAGCGUUAUCCGGAUUUAUUGGGUUUAAAGGGAGCGUAGGCGGACUGUUAAGUCAGCGGUAAAAGCCCGGGGCUCAACCCCGGCGAGCCGUUGAAACUGGCUGUCUUGAGAUGUCGAGAGGUAUGCGGAAUGCGCGGUGUAGCGGUGAAAUGCUUAGAUAUUGCGCAGAACUCCGAUUGCGAAGGCAGCAUACCGGCGGCGAUCUGACGCUGAGGCACGAAAGCGUGGGUAUCGAACAGGAUUAGAUACCCCUGUAGUC
rnacentral:rRNA from 1 species